GUGGGCAGUAUUGCAGAAUAUACCUGGCAAUGCAGUUGGUUUUUGUAUCCAGCCGUUUCCUCACUGACAGCCUGGCUUGCAUAGCUGGCAAAGCUUGCACAGACAGGCAGAGAUAUGGCUCCUGUAAUGGAAGGCAUUGAGUUUUGUUUUGGGUUCAAACCCCAGGUGUUUUUGGAAGCAGGCCUACUGGUUGUGAAUAGUAAGGGCUGCAGAGUAUUGGAGCACGGUGCCUUGUGUACUUGUGCAAAGCAGCGUGCGUACCCGUUGCAGUGCAA